ACAUAUCUUGCUUUCACAAACAAUCAUUGUUCUUCUUAGCGAGUAUGUCUGAUUUGCAAUAACUAAUGGAUCAAAACCGCAAGAAUAGAUAGAUACUGAUGAAUUUAUGCACCUAUUUUUCUAUAUUUGCGUAUCGUAUGUUGGUAUGCAUGUGUGUGUACGUAUGUCAAUUAAAAGAAAAAGGUAUGUGUAUACAUAAAUAGAGUAAAAGUGACGUAUCAAAGCGGUGAUUGAAAUGUAUUAUUAGCUUCUCAUAUUUGUAUGUAUGUUUAUACUAAGCCACUUUAUUACCUUAUCAUAUUUGUAACCCAUUGUAUUGUUAGUUUGUUCGAUAACAUA
rnacentral:lncRNA from 1 species